AACGAACGCUGGCGGCAGGCUUAACACAUGCAAGUCGAGCGCCCCGCCAGGGGAGCGGCCGACGGGUGAGUACCGCGUGGGAACGUACCUUUUGGUUCGGAACAACUCCGGGAAACUGGAGCUAAUACCGGAUAAGCCCUAACGGGGAAAGAUUUAUCGCCGAAAGAUCGGCCCGCGUCUGAUUAGCUAGUUGGUGAGGUAACGGCUCACCAAGGCGACGAUCAGUAGCUGGUCUGAGAGGAUGAUCAGCCACACUGGGACUGAGACACGGCCCAGACUCCUACGGGAGGCAGCAGUGGGGAAUAUUGGAAAAUGGGCGCAAGCCUGAUCCAGCCAUGCCGCGUGAGUGAUGAAGGCCUUAGGGUUGUAAAGCUCUUUUGUCCGGGAAGAUAAUGACUGUACCGGAAGAAUAAGCCCCGGCUAACUUCGUG
rnacentral:rRNA from 1 species